rnacentral:rRNA from 1 species
UACGUAGGGCGUAAGCGUUAUCCGGAAUUAUUGGGCGUAAGGAGCUCGUAGGCGGUUUGUCGCGUCUGCUGUGAAAGACCGGGGCUCAACUCCGGUUCUGCAGUGGGUACGGGCAGACUAGAGUGCAGUAGGGGAGACUGGAAUUCCUGGUGUAGCGGUGAAAUGCGCAGAUAUCAGGAGGAACACCGAUGGCGAAGGCAGGUCUCUGGGCUGUAACUGACGCUGAGGAGCGAAAGCAUGGGGAGCGAACAGG